rnacentral:rRNA from 1 species
GGGUGCGAUCAUACCAACUCUAAUGCAUCGGAUCCCAUCAUAAAUCCACAGUUCAGCAUGGCGAGAGUAGUAGUAGGAUGAAUAACCUCUUGGGAAGUUCUCGUGUUGCAUUCU